GACAGAGGAUGCAAGCGUUAUCCGGAAUUAUUGGGCGUAAAGAGCUCGUAGGCGGCCUGUUGCGUCCGCUGUGAAAAGCCCCGGGGCUUAACCCCGGGUCGCAGUGGAUACGGGCAGGCUAGAGGUAGGUAGGGGAGAAUGGAAUUCCCGGUGUAGCGGUGAAAUGCGCAGAUAUCAGGAGGAACACCGAUGGCGAAGGCAGAUCUCUGGGCCGUAACUGACGCUGAGGAGCGAAAGCAUGGGGAGCGAACAGG
rnacentral:rRNA from 1 species